ACGAUCCGUAGCUGGUCUGAGAGGACGACCAGCCACACUGGGACUGAGACACGGCCCAGACUCCUACGGGAGGCAGCAGUGGGGAAUUUUGGACAAUGGGGGCAACCCUGAUCCAGCCAUGCCGCGUGUGUGAAGAAGGCCUUCGGGUUGUAAAGCACUUUCGGACGGAACGAAAUCGCGCGAGUUAAUAGUUCGCGUGGAUGACGGUACCGUAAGAAGAAGCACCAGCUAACUACGUGCCAGCAGCCGCGGUAAUACGUAGGGUGCGAGCGUUAAUCGGAAUUACUGGGCGUAAAGUGUGCGCAGGCGGCGCUGCAAGUCGAGUGUGAAAUCCCCGAGCUUAACUUGGGAAUUGCGCUCGAAACUACGGCGCUGGAGUAUGGCAGAGGAAGGUGGAAUUCCACGUGUAGCGGUGAAAUGCGUAGAGAAUGUGGAGGAACACCGAUGGCGAAGGCAGCCUUCUGGGCCAAUACUGACGCU
rnacentral:rRNA from 1 species